rnacentral:rRNA from 1 species
AUGCGUGCCUUAUUCUGGAACAUCCGCGGGUUCGGCCAUGACGGCCGACGCCGCCAGCUCAUCGAGUACGUGCGCGAUGAGCAUAUUGACAUAGUGGCGAUCCAGGAAACCAUGCGCUCCGACUUCUCAUUGCCAAAGCUUGACCGGCUGAGCACCCACCUCUUUGCGUGGCACUGGCUCCCUUCUAGUGGGAACACCGGCCAUUCGGGUGGCAUCCUUCUAGGUGUGAAGGAUGCCACCUUCGAGGUGGGGAGUAUGGACCGGGGCCAGUUCUUUGUUAGUAUGGAGCUCUAUGAACGAGCCCUGAACUUCAAAUGGGAGGUUAUCAUCGUCUAUGGCCCGGCUGACCACAGUAGAUCCGCGUCCUUCCUCGAGGAGCUUAUCCGGAAGGUCUCUGCGGCCUCCCUGCCGGUGGUUGUCGGAGGCAAUUUUAACCUCCGCCGAUUCGCGGAAGACAAGAGCAAUGUGUUGGAAAUAUGCCCUAGAGGCAAUAAUAAAUGGUUAUUAUUAUAUUUCUUUGUUCAUGAUAAUUGUCUAUUAUUCAUGCUAUAA